rnacentral:tmRNA from 1 species
GGGGCUGACCGGUUUCGACGUCGGGACCGGGAGCCGUUCGUGCGACCGGAGUUGCUCAGACUCCUUAAACGGGGCACCCAAAGAAGCGCCAAGGGCGACUUCGCUCUCGCCGCCUGACCAACAGGUGGUACGAGAGACAUCGCGACCAGCAAUGGCACGCGGGGCCUGACCGCUACAGCCCGGCAACAGAAGUAGCGGUGGACGGCGGGAAAGACCGCUGACGGCAGGCAAAGACCGCUGACAGCUCGGAAAGACGAGCCGGUGACCGGACUGCGGUAGCAGCCCGGUAGCCGACCCGGCGGUGCACCAGCCGUAGCCGGUGCGAACUCGGGAAUGGUCGUAGCGCGGUCGGUGACCGCUCGGCGGACGAGGGUUCGAUUCCCUCCAGCUCCACCG